rnacentral:rRNA from 1 species
ACGUAGGCAGCGAGCGUUGUUCGGAGUUACUGGGCGUAAAGGGUGUGUAGGCGGUCCUCUAAGUUUGGUGUGAAAUCUCCCGGCUCAACCGGGAGGGUGCGCCGAAAACUGGGGGGCUAGAGCGCGGGAUGGGUAAGUGGAAUUCCUGGUGUAGCGGUGAAAUGCGUAGAUAUCAGGAGGAACACCUGUGGUGUAGACGGCUUACUGGACCGCAACUGACGCUGAGACACGAAAGCGUGGGUAGCAAACAGGA